GACAGAGGGGGCAAGCGUUGCUCGGAAUUACUGGGCGUAAAGGGCGCGUAGGCGGGAUGGCAAGUCGGUCGUGAAAUCCCUCGGCUCAACUGAGGAUCGUCGAUCGAUACUGCCGUUCUUGAGGACGAUAGAGGAGAGUGGAAUUCCUGGUGUAGCGGUGAAAUGCGUAGAUAUCUGAAGGAACAUCAGUGGCGAAAGCGACUUCCUGGACCAAUACUGACGCUCAUGUGCGAAAGCGUGGGGAGCAAACAGG
rnacentral:rRNA from 1 species